UACUAGAGUAGCACUCGCAUAUCAAUAAGCGGAGGAAAAGAAACUAACAAGGAUUCCCCUAGUAACGGCGAGUGAAGCGGGAAGAGCUCAAAUUUGAAAUCUUAAAGGGUUUCCCUUUACGAAUUGUAGUUUAAAGAAGUGUUUUCUGUUGAGGUUUUGGUAAAAGUUCUUUGGAAUAGGACAUCAUAGAGGGUGAGAAUCCCGUAUUUGACCUUUACUUUCAACUUUGUGAUACACUUUCAAAGAGUCGGAUUGUUUGGGAAUGCAGUCCAAAGUGGGUGGUAAAUUUCAUCUAAAGCUAAAUAUUGGCGAGAGACCGAUAGCGAACAAGUACCGUGAGGGAAAGAUGAAAAGAACUUUGAAAAGAGAGUUAAACAGUACGUGAAAUUGUCAAAAGGGAAGCGUUUGACACCAGUGUUGUUUUUCUGAAAAUCAAUUAAAGAACUGUUUAUGCUAAGCUGUUUAGACUUUAUCAGCUAAUCUGUUUAGUUUUGAGCUUUUCUUUAAUGCACUUUUCAGUUAACAAGUCAACAUCAAUUUCUUUUGCUGUAAAAAAGCUUGAGGAAGGUGGCUUGAGAUUCGUCUUAAGUGUUUAUAGCCUCUUGCCUAUGCAGUCGGAGAGAUUGAGGUCUGCAGCGUAGAUCCUUCGGGGCUAAAUGCAUUUGUGCUAAGUUAUAGCAUUUUAUAGACAACUUGUUGACUAUGAUUUGUCUUGUAGCUUACUCGCUUAUGUUAUUUUACCUACGCUUAGGAUGUUGAGCGCAUGUCUCUCUCU
rnacentral:rRNA from 1 species